GAUACACCUCUUCCCUUUCCGAACAGAGCAGUUAAGCCCCUCAGCGCCGAUGGUACUUGGCUCGCAAGGGCCUGGGAGAGUAGGUCGCCGCCGGAA
rnacentral:rRNA from 1 species